rnacentral:rRNA from 1 species
GUGGGGAAUAUUGGGCAAUGGGCGAAAGCCUGACCCAGCAACGCCGUGUGAAGGAAGAAGGCCCUCGGGUUGUAAACUUCUUUUAAGAGGGACGAAAGAAAUGACGGUACCUCUUGAAUAAGCCACGGCUAACUACGUGCCAGCAGCCGCGGUAAUACGUAGGUGGCGAGCGUUAUCCGGAUUUACUGGGUGUAAAGGGCGUGUAGGUGGGACAGCAAGUCAGUGGUGAAAUAUCGGGGCUCAACCCCGGGGCUGCCAUUGAAGCUGUUGUUCUUGAGUGAUGGAGAGGCAGGCGGGAUUCCCGGUGUAGCGGUGGAAUGCGUAGAUAACGGGAGGAACACCAGUGGCGAAGGCGUCCUGCUGGACAGUAACUGACGCUGAGGCGCGAAAGCGUGGGGAGCAAACAGGAUUAGAUACCCCUGUAGUCC